rnacentral:rRNA from 1 species
UACAGAGGGUGCGAGCGUUAAUCGGAAUUACUGGGCGUAAAGCGCGCGUAGGCGGCUUUGCAAGUCGGGUGUGAAAUCCCCAGGCUUAACCUGGGAACUGCAUUCGAGACUGCAUUGCUAGAGUAUGGGAGAGGGAAGUGGAAUUUCCGGUGUAGCGGUGAAAUGCGCAGAUAUCAGGAGGAACACCGGUGGCGAAGGCGGCUUGCUGGGCCAGUUCUGACGCUGAGGAGCGAGAGCGUGGGGAGCGAACAGG